AUGGCCGUUCUUAGUUGGUGGAGUGAUUUGUCUGCUUAAUUGCGAUAACGGACGAGACCUUAACCUGCUAAAUAGGGCUGCGAGCAUCUGCUCGUGGGCUCUUCUUAGAGGGACUAUGGGUUUCAAACCCAUGGAAGUUUGAGGCAACAACAGGUCUGUGAUGCCCUUAGAUGUUCUGGGCCGCACGCGCGCUACACUGACGGAGCCAGCAAGUAUAUCCUUGGUCGAGAGGCCCGGGUAAUCUCGUGAAACUCCGUCGUGCUGGGG
rnacentral:rRNA from 1 species